GACGAACCGUGCGAACGUUGUUCGGAAUCACUGGGCUUAAAGGGCGCGUAGGCGGGUCAGCAAGUCCGGGGUGAAAUCUUUCGGCUCAACCGGAAAAGUGCCUCGGAUACUGCUGGUCUUGAGGGAGGUAGGGGUUUGUGGAACUUCUGGUGGAGCGGUGAAAUGCGUUGAUAUCAGGAGGAACACCGGUGGCGAAGGCGGGUCUCUGGGCCGAUACUGACGCUGAGGAGCGAAAGCGUGGGGAGCGAACAGG
rnacentral:rRNA from 1 species